AGUGAACGCUGGCGGUGGGCCUAACACAUGCAAGUCGAACGGCAGCACAGUAAGAGCUUGCUCUUACGGGUGGCGAGUGGCGGACGGGUGAGGAAUACAUCGGAAUCUACUUUUUCGUGGGGGAUAGCGUAGGGAAACUUACGCUAAUACCGCAUACGACCUACGGGUGAAAGCAGGGGAUCUUCGGACCUUGCGCGAUUGAAUGAGCCGAUGUCGGAUUAGCUAGUUGGCGGGGUAAAGGCCCACCAAGGCGACGAUCCGUAGCUGGUCUGAGAGGAUGAUCAGCCACACUGGAACUGAGACACGGUCCAGACUCCUACGGGAGGCAGCAGUGGGGAAUAUUGGACAAUGGGCGCAAGCCUGAUCCAGCCAUACCGCGUGGGUGAAGAAGGCCUUCGGGUUGUAAAGCCCUUUUGUUGGGAAAGAAAAGCAGCAGGUUAAUACCCCGCUGUUCUGACGGUACCCAAAGAAUAAGCACCGGCUAACUUCGUG
rnacentral:rRNA from 1 species